UACGGGGGGGGCAAGCGUUGUUCGGAAUUACUGGGCGUAAAGGGUUUGUAGGUGGCCUGCUAAGUCACACGUGAAAUCCCUCAGCUUAACUGGGAACUGCGUGUGAGACUGGCAGGCUUGAGUGCAGGAGAGGAACGCGGAAUUCCAGGUGUAGCGGUGAAAUGCGUAGAUAUCUGGAGGAACACCGGUGGCGAAGGCGGCUCGCUGGGCAGUGGCUGACGCUGAGGCGCGACAGCGUGGGGAGCAAACAGG
rnacentral:rRNA from 1 species